GAUUUUGAUGGAGCUCAGACUGAAUUGUGGUGACGUAGACCUCUCUACAAGGUUUAACUGCUGCUGUGCCGCAGUCACCAACAUCUUCGCCACCAUUUC